GUCUAAGGCCAUAUCACCCUGAAGGUGCCUGAUCUUGUCUGAUUUCAGAAGCUAGGGUCACACCUGGUUACUACUUGGAUGGGAGAGAAGCAGGUAAGGUGCUUGUCU
rnacentral:rRNA from 1 species